rnacentral:tRNA from 1 species
GGAUGGGUUCCCGAGCGGCCAAAGGGGGCAGACUGUAAAUCUGCUGACAACGUCUUCGAAGGUUCGAAUCCUUCUCCAUCCA